AGCCAGUUACUGUACAUGCAACAUUGGUUUUGAUUCUAUCAUUUCACUUAAUUUGGUCUGCGUAUCUGCAGAGAUGACUCCUUCUUCCAUGAAGAUAAAUAUUGCACCCAAUUCCUGCUUGAAGACUGAACAAAAUAACAGCUCAGGGAGACUUACCUCUGCAGAGUACUGGCAUUCUAUCUACGCCUGUAGGUACGACAUGCACAGAUGAAUAUGGAGCUGAAGCUUGCACUGACAUACUCAAGUUUUACAGAAAAUUAAUGAAGUGUAGAUGUCAAACACCAUUUAAAGCAAUGUGGGGCAUGAGGACAUCAAAUCUGUGACAUACACCAGCAACACUUGGUCUCAUUGACCACCUCAGACUUGUGGAAGCAGAAUUUGGGGUCUACUGCACCAGAGCAAAACUGAUGAACAGUUUUGGUUCCCAAAUGAGAUCCCUUAUUCUGGAUCACUCAAAGCCAAGGACUUCUAGGCCUGUGGGAGCUACAAGAUCAAGCGUCCUAGCAAGUCCAUUAAUGGAUGUGGAACCAGAUGUCAAGAAAGGGAACCUGAGGAACAUCCUAUAUGUUCUUAAAGAUACACAGCCCCACAAACAAUGCAGUUCAUGAAAGAUUUGGAUUCAAAGUAAAGUAAAUGGACAAAGGGUGAAGAAUAGAAAAUGUCAACUGCAGUUGUGUAUUAACCAAAUCCCAGGUAAGUGCCUUCAUUCGUGGUCAGAAACUAAUUGGGGGUUAGAGCUCUAAGACAAAUUAAUUCUGUUUGGAGAACAAGUCUGAGAUAGUUUGUGCUAGAACUCAUACAUAUGGGUAUCUGUUG